rnacentral:rRNA from 1 species
GACGAACGCUGGCGGCGUGCUUAACACAUGCAAGUCGAACGGUGAAGCGCCUUCCUUUUUGGUGGGUGUGGAUGAGUGGCGAACGGGUGAGUAACACGUGAGUAACCUGCCCCCUUCUUCUGGAUAACCGCAUGAAAGUGUGGCUAAUACGGGAUAUUCUGGGUCUGUCGCAUGAUGGGUCUGGGAAAGAUAUUGUUUCGUGGGGGAUGGGCUCGCGGCCUAUCAGCUUGUUGGUGGGGUGAUGGCCUACCAAGGCGGUGACGGGUAGCCGGCCUGAGAGGGUGGACGGUCACACUGGGACUGAGACACGGCCCAGACUCCUACGGGAGGCAGCAGUGGGGAAUAUUGCACAAUGGGCGCAAGCCUGAUGCAGCGACGCCGCGUGAGGGAUGGAGGCCUUCGGGUUGUGAACCUCUUUCGCCAGUGAAGCAGGCCUGCCUCGUUUGUGGGUGGGUUGACGGUAGCUGGAUAAGAAGCGCCGGCUAACUACGUG